AAAUUGAAGAGUUUGAUCAUGGCUCAGAUUGAACGCUGGCGGCAGGCCUAACACAUGCAAGUCGAACGGUAACAGAAAGCAGCUUGCUGCUUUGCUGACGAGUGGCGGACGGGUGAGUAAUGUCUGGGAAACUGCCUGAUGGAGGGGGAUAACUACUGGAAACGGUAGCUAAUACCGCAUAACGUCGCAAGACCAAAGAGGGGGACCUUCGGGCCUCUUGCCAUCGGAUGUGCCCAGAUGGGAUUAGCUUGUUGGUGGGGUAACGGCUCACCAAGGCGACGAUCCCUAGCUGGUCUGAGAGGAUGACCAGCCACACUGGAACUGAGACACGGUCCAGACUCCUACGGGAGGCAGCAGUGGGGAAUAUUGCACAAUGGGCGCAAGCCUGAUGCAGCCAUGCCGCGUGUAUGAAGAAGGCCUUCGGGUUGUAAAGUACUUUCAGCGGGGAGGAAGGGAGUAAAGUUAAUACCUUUGCUCAUUGACGUUACCCGCAGAAGAAGCACCGGCUAACUCCGUGCCAGCAGCCGCGGUAAUACGGAGGGUGCAAGCGUUAAUCGGAAUUACUGGGCGUAAAGCGCACGCAGGCGGUUUGUUAAGUCAGAUGUGAAAUCCCCGGGCUCAACCUGGGAACUGCAUCUGAUACUGGCAAGCUUGAGUCUCGUAGAGGGGGGUAGAAUUCCAGGUGUAGCGGUGAAAUGCGUAGAGAUCUGGAGGAAUACCGGUGGCGAAGGCGGCCCCCUGGACGAAGACUGACGCUCAGGUGCGAAAGCGUGGGGAGCAAACAGGAUUAGAUACCCUGGUAGUCCACGCCGUAAACGAUGUCGACUUGGAGGUUGUGCCCUUGAGGCGUGGCUUCCGGAGCUAACGCGUUAAGUCGACCGCCUGGGGAGUACGGCCGCAAGGUUAAAACUCAAAUGAAUUGACGGGGGCCCGCACAAGCGGUGGAGCAUGUGGUUUAAUUCGAUGCAACGCGAAGAACCUUACCUGGUCUUGACAUCCACGGAAGUUUUCAGAGAUGAGAAUGUGCCUUCGGGAACCGUGAGACAGGUGCUGCAUGGCUGUCGUCAGCUCGUGUUGUGAAAUGUUGGGUUAAGUCCCGCAACGAGCGCAACCCUUAUCCUUUGUUGCCAGCGGUCCGGCCGGGAACUCAAAGGAGACUGCCAGUGAUAAACUGGAGGAAGGUGGGGAUGACGUCAAGUCAUCAUGGCCCUUACGACCAGGGCUACACACGUGCUACAAUGGCGCAUACAAAGAGAAGCGACCUCGCGAGAGCAAGCGGACCUCAUAAAGUGCGUCGUAGUCCGGAUUGGAGUCUGCAACUCGACUCCAUGAAGUCGGAAUCGCUAGUAAUCGUGGAUCAGAAUGCCACGGUGAAUACGUUCCCGGGCCUUGUACACACCGCCCGUCACACCAUGGGAGUGGGUUGCAAAAGAAGUAGGUAGCUUAACCUUCGGGAGGGCGCUUACCACUUUGUGAUUCAUGACUGGGGUGAAGUCGUAACAAGGUAACCGUAGGGGAACCUGCGGUUGGAUCAC
rnacentral:rRNA from 1 species